AUUGAACGCUGGCGGCAUGCCUUACACAUGCAAGUCGAACGGUAACGGGCCUUCGGGUGCCGACGAGAGGCGAACGGGUGAGUAAUGCAUCGGAACGUACCUUUCAGUGGGGGAUAACGUAGCGAAAGUUACGCUAAUACCGCAUAUUCUGUGAGCAGGAAAGCAGGGGAUCGCAAGACCUUGCGCUGAUUGAGCGGCCGAUGUCAGAUUAGCUAGUUGGUGAGGUAAAGGCUCACCAAGGCGACGAUCUGUAGCGGGUAUGAGAGGAUGAUCCGCCACACUGGGACUGAGACACGGCCCAGACUCCUACGGGAGGCAGCAGUGGGGAAUUUUGGACAAUGGGGGCAACCCUGAUCCAGCCAUGCCGCGUGAGUGAAGAAGGCCUUCGGGUUGUAAAGCUCUUUCGGCCGGGAAGAAAUCGCACAGGCUAAUACCUUGUGUGGAUGACGGUACCGGAAUAAGAAGCACCGGCUAACUACGUGCCAGCCGCCGCGGUAACAC
rnacentral:rRNA from 1 species